rnacentral:rRNA from 1 species
UUUAUUUGAGAGUUUGAUCCUGGCUCAGGAUGAACGCUGGCGGCGUGCCUAACACAUGCAAGUUGAGCGAUUUACUUCGGUAAAGAGCGGCGGACGGGUGAGUAACGCGUGGGUAACCUACCCUGUACACACGGAUAACAUACCGAAAGGUAUGCUAAUACGGGAUAAUAUAUUUGAGAGGCAUCUCUCGAAUAUCAAAGGUGAGCCAGUACAGGAUGGACCCGCGUCUGAUUAGCUAGUUGGUAAGGUAACGGCUUACCAAGGCGACGAUCAGUAGCCGACCUGAGAGGGUGAUCGGCCACAUUGGAACU